GAUAGCCAAGAGGGGACAAAAGCUGAAUUAUAAGCCCACACAAUUUAUGGUUCUUCAGGUUUGCCACUUGGAUGUCUACAACGGUAUCAACUCACUACUAAGUCAGCUGCAAAUUACUCAGUUCCCAACCUAAUAUUUGGUGUACAAAUGAGGGCACCGUGCUCUGUAAAGUUGUUCUUGCACAGUUGUGUCUGCCUCAGCAGGGAAAACGUGGAAGCCAGGAAUUCCCAUUUGCUCGUUUGUUCUUACCUUCCUAGACAAUCCUACCAAAUCAUUGCAACUUGGUGCAGAGAAAGACCAGCAUGAGCUGGGAAUUGGCUACUGUCCUAUGCUUGUAUGAUGAAUAGAUCAAAGAGAAUUAUGGAGGAAUCCAUUAAUUUAAGCCAGAAGAAAGCUGGAGAAGUUACAGACUACAUUAAGUAUAAACUGCAAACUAAUUGGCCAUCUUGGAAAUAUCAUAGUUUUUCAGAUUAUUAUAAAGUUCCAAAGCCCUACUGUAUCUUUUUACACAUAAAGAAAUCGAUAAGCCCUACUGUAUCUUUUUAUACAUAAAGAAAUUUAAGACUAAAAAUAAGAUAAUUCAUUUAAGCUCACAAUAUUAUUUGGUCUUAUUUUGGGGAACUGUCAAGUAAAAUGACAAAUUAAAAAGGGCUAAUCUUCCAAAAUAGAGUACAGCGACCUUUUCCUUUUUUUUUUUUUCUUAAA